CGGGUGAGUAACGCGUGAGGAACCUGCCUCAAAGAGGGGACAACAGUUGGAAACGGCUGCUAAUACCGCAUAAGCCCACGGCUCGGCAUCGAGCAGAGGGAAAAGGAGCAAUCCGCUUUGAGAUGGCCUCGCGUCCGAUUAGCUAGUUGGUGAGGUAAUGGCCCACCAAGGCAACGAUCGGUAGCCGGACUGAGAGGUUGAACGGCCACAUUGGGACUGAGACACGGCCCAG
rnacentral:rRNA from 1 species